rnacentral:rRNA from 1 species
UACGUAGGGGGCAAGCGUUAUCCGGAAUUAUUGGGCGUAAAGAGUACGUAGGUGGUUUUACAAGUCUAGGGUGAAAGGCAGUGGCUCAACCAUUGUUAGCCCUAGAAACUGUAUGACUUGAGUGCAGGAGAGGUAAGUGGAAUUCCUAGUGUAGCGGUGAAAUGCGUAGAUAUUAGGAGGAACACCAGUGGCGAAGGCGACUUACUGGACUGUUACUGACACUGAGGUACGAAAGCGUGGGGAGCGAACAGG